GAUGAACGCUGGCGGCGUGCUUAACACAUGCAAGUCGAACGGGAAACCUUUUAUUGAAGCUUCGGCAGAUUUAGCUGGUUUCUAGUGGCGGACGGGUGAGUAACGCGUGGGUAACCUGCCCUAUACAGGGGGAUAACAACCAGAAAUGGUUGCUAAUACCGCAUAAGCGCACAGGGCCGCAUGGUCCGGUGUGAAAAACUCCGGUGGUAUAGGAUGGACCCGCGUUGGAUUAGCCAGUUGGCAGGGUAACGGCCUACCAAAGCGACGAUCCAUAGCCGGCCUGAGAGGGUGAACGGCCACAUUGGGACUGAGACACGGCCCAGACUCCUACGGGAAGCAGCAGUGGGGAAUAUUGCACAAUGGGGGAAACCCUGAUGCAGCGACGCCGCGUGAAGGAAGAAGUAUCUCGGUAUGUAAACUUCUAUCAGCAGGGAAGAUAGUGACGGUACCUGACGAAGAAGCCCCGGCUAACUACGUG
rnacentral:rRNA from 1 species